CCACCUACCUCUCCCACACUCUAGAAAAGUAGUUUCAAAUGCAGUUCUGUAGUUAAGCUACAGGAUUUCACAUCUGACUUACUUUCCCGCCUACGCACUUUCUACGCCCAGUGAUUCCGAGUAACGCUUGCACCCUCCGUAUUACCGCGGCUGCUGGCACGGAGUUAGCCGGUGCUUAUUCGUUAGAUACCGUCAUAAUCUUCUCUAACAAAAGGAGUUUACAAUCCUAAAACCUUCAUCCUCCACGCGGCGUUGCUGCUUCAGGCUUUCGCCCAUUGAGCAAUAUUCCCUACUGCUGCCUCCCGUAGGAGUCUGGACCGUGUCUCAGUUCCAGUGUGUCCGAUCACCCUCUCAGGCCGGAUACCCGUCAUAGCCUUGGUGAGCCUUUAC
rnacentral:rRNA from 1 species